GACGAACGCUGGCGGCGUGCUUAACACAUGCAAGUCGAACGGAAAGGCCCUGCUUUUGUGGGGUGCUCGAGUGGCGAACGGGUGAGUAACACGUGAGUAACCUGCCCUUGACUUUGGGAUAACUUCAGGAAACUGGGGCUAAUACCGGAUAGGAGCUCCUGCUGCAUGGUGUGGGUUGGAAAGUUUCGGCGGUUGGGGAUGGACUCGCGGCUUAUCAGCUUGUUGGUGGGGUAGUGGCUUACCAAGGCUUUGACGGGUAGCCGGCCUGAGAGGGUGACCGGCCACAUUGGGACUGAGGUACGGCCCAGACUCGUACGGGAGGCAGCGGUGGGAAAUAUUGCGCAAUGGGCGGAAGCCUGAUGCAACGACGCCGCGUGCGGGAUGACGGCCUUCGGGUUAUAAACCGCUUUCGCCUGUAACGAAGCGUGAGUGACGGUAAUGGGUAAAGAAGCACCGGCUAACUACGUG
rnacentral:rRNA from 1 species